UGACUGUGCUAAGGUAGCAUAAUAAUUUGUCCUUUUAAUGGGGACUGGAAUGAAGGGUGUACUGGAGAUAGGCUAAUGAUUUUACUGUAUCAUUGAAGUUAAAAUUUAAGUUAAAAUUCUUAAAUAAUUUUAAAGGACGAGAAGACCCUGUGGAUCUUUACUGUGUAUUAAUUUAUUUAUUUUAAUUUGGCUGAACUGAGAAAUGGUUUAAUUGGGACGAUUCUAUAUUAACUAUAUCAUUAGCAAUUAUUUAGAUCCUAAGUAAGGAAAAAAGAUUAAGUUACCCCAGGGAUAACAGCGUUAUAUUAUCGGAUAGUUCAUAUUGAUGAUAAUGUUUGCGACCUCGAUGUUGAAUUAAA
rnacentral:rRNA from 1 species